GAUACAGAUUAGCAUAGCCACUUUAUUUAUUUAUUAAACACACUAAGCAAAAGACAUAUAUAUAUAAGCAUAAAAUCUUUAUUUGGUUUUUCAUAGUAAUGUAUAUUUAUAUUCUAAAAUAAUAUAAGUAUAAAGAUAGAUAGAUAGAAAUACUUAUCGAGAUAAAUGGGGGUGCUCUCCCCCAAGCUGAAUUUGGACGUAAUUUCUCUUGAUGUAGCUAGCAGGUGGC
rnacentral:lncRNA from 1 species